rnacentral:rRNA from 1 species
GGGGCGAGCGUUGUCCGGAAUUAUUGGGCGUAAAGAGCGUGUAGGCGGUUCGGUAAGUCUGCCGUGAAAACCUGGGGCUCAACCCCGGGCGUGCGGUGGAUACUGCCGGGCUAGAGGGUGGUAGAGGCGAGUGGAAUUCCCGGUGUAGCGGUGAAAUGCGCAGAUAUCGGGAGGAACACCAGUAGCGAAGGCGGCUCGCUGGGCCAUGUCCUGACGCUGAGACGCGAAAGCGUGGGGAGCGAACAGGAUUAGAUACCCUGGUAGUCCACGCCGUAAACGAUGAACACUAGGUGUUGGGGGAGUCGAAUCCCUCGGUGCCGCAGCCAACGCGUUAAGUGUUCCGCCUGGGGAGUACGGCCGCAAGGCUAAAACUCAAAAGAAUUGACGGGGGCCCGCACAAGCAGCGGAGCAUGUUCUUUAAUUCGAUGCAACGCGAAGAACCUUACCUGGGCUUGACAUGGUGCUGCAAGCGCACGGAAACGUGUGACCUUCGAGGGUGCACCACAGAUGCUGCAUGGCUGUCGUCAGCUCGUGUCGUGAGAUGUUGGGUUAAGUCCCGCAACGAGCGCAACCCCCGUGGUGUGUUGCCAGCAUUAAGUUGGGGACUUACACCAGACUGCCGGUGACAAACCGGAGGAAGGUGGGGAUGACGUCAAGUCAUCAUGGCUCUUACGCCCAGGGCUAGAAACGUGCUACAAUGGCGCAUACAAUGGGUUGCAAGACCGCGAGGUGGAGCGAAUCUCAUCAAAGUGCGUCUAAGUUCGGAUCGCAGUCUGUAACUCGACUGCGUGAAGGCGGAGUUGCUAGUAAUCGCGGAUCAGCAUGCCGCGGUGAAUACGUU